rnacentral:rRNA from 1 species
UACGUAGGGGGCAAGCGUUAUCCGGAAUUACUGGGCGUAAGGGGUGCGUAGGUGGUUUCUUAAGUCAGAGGUGAAAGGCUACGGCUCAACUGUAGUAAGCCUUUGAAACUGGGAAACUUGAGUGCAGGAGAGGAGAGUGGAAUUCCUAGUGUAGCGGUGAAAUGCGUAGAUAUUAGGAGGAACACCAGUGGCGAAGGCGACUCUCUGGUCUGUAACUGACGCUGAGGCUCGAAAGCGUGGGGAGCAAACAGGAUUAGAUACCCCCGUAGUCCCUGAGCGGG